UACGUAGGGGGCAAGCGUUGUCCGGAUUUAUUGGGCGUAAAGCGCGUGUAGGCGGCCAGGUAGGUCUGCUGUGAAAACCCCCGGCUUAACCGGGGGCCGGCCGUGGAAACUGUCGGGCUGGAGGCUGGGAGAGGGCAGCGGAAGUUCCCGGUGUAGCGGUGAAAUGCGUAGAUAUCAGGAGGAAUACCGGUGGCGAAAGCGACUCUCUGGACGGCAACUGACGCUGAGGCACGAAAGCGUGGGGAGCAAACAGG
rnacentral:rRNA from 1 species